UACGUAGGGUGCGAGCGUUGUCCGGAAUUAUUGGGCGUAAAGGGCUCGUAGGCGGUUUGUCGCGUCGGGAGUGAAAACCAGGUGCUUAACUCCUGGCUUGCUUUCGAUACGGGCAGACUAGAGGUAUUCAGGGGAGAACGGAAUUCCUGGUGUAGCGGUGAAAUGCGCAGAUAUCAGGAGGAACACCGGUGGCGAAGGCGGUUCUCUGGGAAUGGCCUGACGCUGAGGAGCGAAAGUGUGGGGAGCGAACAGG
rnacentral:rRNA from 1 species